UAAUUGAAGAGUUUGAUCAUGGCUCAGAUUGAACGCUGGCGGCAGGCCUAACACAUGCAAGUCGAACGGAAACAUGUCUAGCUUGCUAGAUGAUGUCGAGUGGCGGACGGGUGAGUAAUGCUUGGGAACUUGCCUUUGCGAGGGGGAUAACAGUUGGAAACGACUGCUAAUACCGCAUAAUGUCUUCGGACCAAACGGGGCUUCGGCUCCGGCGCAAAGAGAGGCCCAAGUGAGAUUAGCUAGUUGGUGAGGUAAAGGCUCACCAAGGCAACGAUCUCUAGCUGUUCUGAGAGGAAGAUCAGCCACACUGGGACUGAGACACGGCCCAGACUCCUACGGGAGGCAGCAGUGGGGAAUAUUGCACAAUGGGGGAAACCCUGAUGCAGCCAUGCCGCGUGUGUGAAGAAGGCCUUCGGGUUGUAAAGCACUUUCAGUUGUGAGGAAAAGUUAGUAGUUAAUACCUGCUAGCCGUGACGUUAACAACAGAAGAAGCACCGGCUAACUCCGUGCCAGCAGCCGCGGUAAUACGGAGGGUGCGAGCGUUAAUCGGAAUUACUGGGCGUAAAGCGCACGCAGGCGGUUUGUUAAGCUAGAUGUGAAAGCCCCGGGCUCAACCUGGGACGGUCAUUUAGAACUGGCAGACUAGAGUCUUGGAGAGGGGAGUGGAAUUCCAGGUGUAGCGGUGAAAUGCGUAGAUAUCUGGAGGAACAUCAGUGGCGAAGGCGACUCCCUGGCCAAAGACUGACGCUCAUGUGCGAAAGUGUGGGUAGCGAACAGGAUUAGAUACCCUGGUAGUCCACACCGUAAACGCUGUCUACUAGCUGUUUGUG
rnacentral:rRNA from 1 species